AAGACUAUACUUCCAAGAAUCAUUUAUAUAGUUUAUUACUAAAGCGAUUUCUCUGAUUGUGUAGAGCACCCAAAACUACGAGGAGAACCAGAGCAUCCUCUUUUUCACAGGAAGCCAGUUCUAGGUGUUGCUUUUGCAAAUGUCUUUUACCAUGAACAAUCAUUCUUCUUUUUCCCUAAGAAGAGGGGGAGGGAGAGGAUACAGACUGAGUGGC